rnacentral:rRNA from 1 species
CCUACGGGAGGCAGCAGUGGGGAAUAUUGCACAAUGGGGGAAACCCUGAUGCAGCGACGCCGCGUGAGUGAAGAAGUCUUUCGGUAUGUAAAGCUCUAUCAGCAGGGAAGAAAAUGACGGUACCUGAUUAAGAAGCCCCGGCUAACUACGUGCCAGCAGCCGCGGUAAUACGGAGGGGGCAAGCGUUAUCCGGAUUUACUGGGUGUAAUGGGAACGUAGUCGGCAGCACAAGUCUGCUGUGAAAGGCCGGGGCUUAACCCCGGAACUGCAUUGGAAACUGUGCGGCUAGAGUGCAGAAGAGGUGAGUGGAAUUCCUAGUGUAGCGGUGAAAUGCGUAGAUAUUAGGAGGAACACCAGUGGCGAAGGCGGCUUACUGGACUGUAACUGACGUUGAGGCUCGAAAGCGUGGGGAGCAAACAGGAUUAGAUACCCGGGUAGUC